GAAAUGCGAUACGUAAUGUGAAUUGCAGAAUUCAGUGAAUCAUCGAAUCUUUGAACGCACCUUGCGCCCCUUGGCAUUCCGAGGGGCACACCCGUUUGAGUGUCGUGAAAUCCUCAACCCUUCUCCCUUUUUGGGGAAAGGGUUUGGAAUUUGGAGGCUUUUGCUGGCCCCUUCUUUUGAAGCCAGCUCCUCUUAAAUGCRUUAGCAGGGCCUCCUUAGCCGGAUCCCUUGACGUGAUAAAGUUUUUACGUCCCGGGGCUUCUUGGCUCUAACCUGCUUCCAAUCGUCUCAUCGAGACUAAAACCGAAUCUGACCUUGACCUCAAAUCGGGUGAGACUACCCGCUGAACUUAA
rnacentral:rRNA from 1 species